CAAAUAUUCAAGUCCUAUCGGGGAGAAGCAGAUCCCGGAGGUGGAAUUCGAGCCACGUUUGGAAGACGUUUGCCCACCUCACUGCUGCCUCCUUUGUUAUCCUACUGUUCUUGAGGUGAGAAUUCAAGUCGCUUCUGACUUUACAGAAACCCUAAGAUUAAAAUUAGCAGAAGAUUUUGCUGUGCAGCAUGAUGAGGGCUAUAAAAACAACUACUUCAAGCACAACUUGUCUACACCACACAAUUGAUGGAUGGUGGUGAGACACCAAAGAUGUUUCUCAUCCAGGGUUGUAUUUAUCCCAGGUCUACCCCAGUAGGGUGGAAGCAAAGGAAAGGAGACUCUGAAGAGGAAUACAGAUUGAAAUUCUAUGCAUCUGGGAAGGCUUUUCAGAGGCUGCAGCAUGGAUGGAGGUCCACAGCUCUGCGUUGAAUUCAUUCCUUGCGGCCACACAGUCUAUUGUGCUAGCUGAAAGCCACUCCAAAGAAACUGAAUGGCACGUCAUCCCCCGCACCCCUCCGCUUCCUGCAUUGGCAAAAAGAAACCUUGCGCAAGCAUUAAAAGGUGUAUGAAUCAUUCAUGAUAAAAUAAAAGC